rnacentral:rRNA from 1 species
UGGUGGAGUGAUUUGUCUGGUUAAUUCCGUUAACGAACGAGACCUCAGCCUGCUAAUUAGUUGUAGUAAUCUUCGGAUUGCUCUAACCUUCUUAGAGGGACUUUCGGUGAUUAGCCGAAGGAAGUUUGAGGCAAUAACA